CAGGUUGACGAUUAUUCAUCGGACGGCGCAGAACUCGUUAAAUAUUGAAGCCCUGCUGCUGAGAAGUAGCCGCUUGUACCUCAAAUUCUCUGUACAUUUCUCUCUCUUCACAUCUCUCUCUCUCUCCUCUCUGUGCAUUUCUAUCACUUCACCUCUCUCUCUCUUCUCUCUCUCUCUCUCGUCGUACUGUCGUCGUUUCGUUCUCGUACGUACGGUAACGACGUACGUACGUAGUACGUACGUUGACGUACGUAUGUACUCCUUACUUAAACGUAAUUAAUACUUACGUUACUUACUUUUAUUAUUACUAAACUAAACUUAAACCUAUUAACUUUACUUNNNNNNNNNNNNNNNNNNNNAAUCCAUCUCAUAAACAGAAAUUUCAAAGAGGGACUCGUUUUCUACAUAUGAGUCAUAGGAGUUAUAAAAAAUCAAGUCCAUUCAAAAUAUAUUAACCUCAUGUGCUAUUUUUUUAAGAUUCAAAAUUAUGGAUGAUCAACUUGAUUACGUCUUAUAUUUGUAAUUCUUAGACGGAAAGGGGUAUCUCCCGAACGGACGGUCCAGGUUGACGAUUAUUCAUCGGACGGCGCAGAACUCGUUAAAUAUUGAAGCCCUGCUGCUGAGAAGUAGCCGCUUGUACCUCAAAUUCUCUGUACAUUUCUCUCUCUUCACAUCUCUCUCUCUCUCCUCUCUGUGCAUUUCUAUCACUUCACCUCUCUCUCUCUUUCUCUCUCUCUCUCUGUACGAUGCGCGUUUUCUCACGUACAAGGAGAACCUGAACGUUGAUCUUGAGGCAUUGAUCCCUUCUAAA
rnacentral:lncRNA from 1 species